rnacentral:rRNA from 1 species
GAUGAACGCUGGCGGCGUGCCUAAUACAUGCAAGUCGAGCGGACAGGCGAUAAGCUUGCUUUUUUGACGUUUGCCGCGGGCGGGUGAGUAACACGUGGAUAACCCACCUUUAAUACUGGGAAAAUCUCGGGAAACCGGCGAUUAUAGCGGAUAAUAUUUUGAACCCCAUUGUUCAAAAGUGAAAGACGGUCUUUGUGUCUCUUCUAGAUGGAUCCGCGCUGCAUUAGGUAGUUGGUUAGGUAACGGCUUACCAAGGCAACGAUGCAUAGCCGACCUGAGAGGGUGAUCGGCCACACUGGAACUGAGACGCGGUCCAGACUCCUACGGGAGGCAGCAGUAGGGAAUCUUCCGCAAUGGGCGAAAGCCUGACGGAGCAACGCCGCGUGAGUGAUGAAGGUCUUCGGAUCGUAAAACUCUGUUAUUAGGGAAGAACAUAUGUGUAAGUAACUGUGCACAUCUUGACGGUACCUAAUCAGAAAGCCACGGCUAACUACGUG